rnacentral:lncRNA from 1 species
CUGCUUAUAGAGUAGAAACCUUCAUGCUAUGUGAUUAAAAAAAAAAGAGUAAAAAGACUUCCUAUCCCAGGAAAUUUGCAGUCUAAAACAAUUGACAGCUGAUGGAUCCAGGCAGAUGGCGAAGAAGGGCAGCAAUAAAAGAAUUUUGAUCAGCACUAAUAGUAGAUAUUUCAGCACAGACUUACAAAGUUUUUAUAAGCAUGAAAGAUCGUUGCUCAAGGGCAAUUAUGGUGAAAUUACACAAGAUAGAUGUAAAGCUAUAUAGAUGUUGAACAAGUUAUCUGUGUUUCUGCUUUUGUUUAGGAAGCUCAUCAAAAAUUGUUUCUGUAAAGAAAAUUAUUUAAAAAGUUGUCUCGUACAGGGCUAGGGAAAUAUUGCAAGAAUGCAGGUUAUCAUGAAUUAAUACUCGAUACAAGAGGAUUACAAAUGCUGGGCCGAUUAUAUCAUUAGAUUAGCACAGUUUCGUCUGCUUAUUUCUGUGGGCAUUCCAAAGACGUACUGAAAAUAGCAAUUGCUUACAGGCCUUUUAUCCAAACUUAAGCACACACGUUUGCCACCGAGAAUUGAAAAUAAAAACUUGAGAUCUGAUUAGGAAGUAGUUAGAUAUCCCCCUAUGGCAUUUACAAUAAAAAAAAAUUGUUAGCAGUGUACUAUGUAACAGAACAAUAUUACAGCGCAAUACAAUAUUGCCACAAGCAGCUUCGUCCCAAGUAGAAAUACAGGAAAAAAUCAGAACAAGUUUGACUUAAGACUAUGUGGCUGAUCUCAGGUUACCUGAUUAUGCUUAACUUCUCCAUGUUUUUAGUUUUUUUGUUUCAUAAAGCACCAUGCUGCUCUCCGUGCUAUAAAACUGCUCUAACACUCGGAAAAGCAACUUGUUAUGGCAGCGCUAACCAGUACUCGUUACCAGCAAUGCCUGAGAACCUAAAUCAGAAAAUACGUCCGACUGCGAUCAAAGGCAACAUGUCUUAUUUAUUCAUUUUCAGCGAAAAGAGCAGCCAACCAGCCCAAAUAUCACCGUAG